ACAUUGCCAAGGGAUGUUGUGAAGGCCAAAAGUAUAGCUGGGUUCAAAAAGAAUUGGGCAAGUUCCUGGUGGAUCGGUCCAACGAUGGCUGUUAGCCAAGACAGUAGCGAUGCAACCCCUGCUCUGAGUAUCCCUAAACCUCUGACAGCCAGAAGCUGGGAGAGAAGGCCAGGGGAUGGCUCACUGCAUAAUUGCCCUGAGCUGUUCAUUCCCUCAGAAGCAUCUGGCAGCAGCACUGUCAGAGAUGGGGCUAAAUGAACCAUUGGCCUGCAGGGCCGGUGGUAUGGUCUGUUAACUGAGACGGCUCACUGUCCACGCAUGGAGUAGCUGGACGCCUGGGCAGAACCAGUCUGCAAGCUACCGAAUUAACUGGCACACCCAAGCCCACUCCCCUAGUGAAUCCCUGGGCUGGGCCCAUGCAAAAGGCAGCAAUGGUCUCACACACACACACGUCAUGGUCAAGACAAUAAAUUUUUAUUUGAUCGUUAGCACAAGGACUGUUUGUACAUCAGAUUUGGCUGGACAACGCAAAGCGGACUCUGUUUCAUUCAGCUUUUGAACCGUUGGCUCUAGUUCCUGGCUGUACUUUUGAGCUGUGGCUGCAGUCGGGGGGCGAAGAGCUGUGCUGGAAGUAAGGGGCAUGUAAAAACAAUCAGUGCAAAUAAGGAAGAGAAAUCAAAGCCACAGCCUCCCACAUGUGGCAUUAUUCACAUUUUAGGAUACCCGCGCUGCCCAUUGCUGGUCCCAGGGCCAGGCGACCUCCGUGUCUGCAUGGGCCCAUUGAGUUGACCUAGCUGUAAGGUUCGGGCAGGAGGGGAGCAGCUCCUUGGGGUCAGAUCACUGGGACCACUCCAGCAUGGCAGGCUCCACCCCCACCAACUGUGUUCCCAUUGCAAUGGAUGGGACCAGGCUGUGGAGCAAAGUGCCACUGAGCAUGGCAGAAUCUGGCCCCAACCUCAUUCCAGGGCCACAUCUGGUGCUCCCUGCAAGCCUGUCACAUCAGCACCUCUGGACAGGAUUCUGCCCUGAGAGGAGCUUCUGCAAAAAUAGCUAGUCCCUUAGAAACACUGGGCCUGCCUGUCUCCUUCCUGGGGGAAAGCAGGGCCAGCCAGCGCCUCCACGAGCAGCUGUCCUAAGCCAAGCCCAAAAGUAGUUGGCUGGGUUGUGGUGGGGGGGGGGGUGGGGUGUGUGUGUGUAUG